GCUCGGGCCGCGCAGGCGCACCAGGCGCGGCCCGGAGGCCGAGGGCGACCACAGCAGCCUCCGCCUCCUACUGCUCCGGACGAUUCUGCGCUGGGCUAGUCGGCGGUGACCCGGACUGCGCCCGGCAGUGGCUUCGCGGGCGACGCGUCGCCAUGGGCUCUCGCUGGAGCAGCGAAGAGGAGAGGCAGCCGCUGCUGGGGCCCGGUCUCGGGCCUGGGCUGGGGGCCUCCUGGAGAAGCCGGGAGGCGGCGGCGGCGGCGCUGCCCGCGGCGGUCCCGGUUCCCGGGCGGGUGUACGGGCGCCGCUGGCUGGUGCUGCUGCUCUUCUCGCUGCUGGCGUUCGUUCAGGGCCUGGUCUGGAACACCUGGGGUCCCAUCCAGAACUCGGCGCGCCAGGCCUACGGCUUCUCCAGCUGGGACAUCGCGCUGCUCGUGCUGUGGGGGCCCAUCGGCUUCCUGCCCUGCUUCGCGUUCAUGUGGCUCCUGGACAAGAGAGGUCUCCGGAUAACUGUGCUCCUGACAUCCUUCCUUAUGGUUUUGGGAACUGGUCUAAGAUGCAUACCUAUAUCAGACUUAAUGCUUAAAAGAAGAUUAAUUCAUGGAGGACAGAUGUUAAAUGGAUUGGCAGGUCCAACUGUAAUGAAUGCAGCACCAUUUCUCUCCACGACGUGGUUUUCUGCAGAUGAAAGGGCCACAGCCACAGCUAUUGCAUCAAUGCUCAGUUAUCUUGGGGGAGCAUGUGCAUUUUUAGUUGGACCACUUGUUGUUCCAGCUCCCAAUGGGACAUCACCUCUUCUUGCUGCAGAGAGCAGCAGGGUGCAUAUUAAAGAUCGCAUAGAGGCUGUGUUAUAUGCAGAAUUUGGAGUUGUCUGCUUAAUAUUUUCUGCAACACUAGCUUAUUUCCCACCCCGACCUCCUCUUCCUCCCAGUGUUGCUGCAGCUAGCCAGCGGCUGAGUUAUCGGAGAAGCGUUUGUAGAUUAUUAAGCAAUUUUCGAUUUUUGAUGAUUGCUUUAGCAUAUGCCAUACCACUUGGUGUAUUUGCUGGCUGGUCUGGAGUUCUGGACUUAAUUUUAACACCAGCGCAUGUCAGCCAAGUAGAUGCUGGCUGGAUUGGAUUUUGGUCCAUAGUUGGAGGCUGUGUUGUUGGAAUAGCUAUGGCAAGGUUUGCAGAUUUUAUCAGGGGUAUGCUGAAACUAAUUCUUCUCCUCCUGUUUUCGGGAGCUACACUGUCAUCCACGUGGUUCACCCUGACCUGUUUGAACAGCAUCACACACCUACCUUUAACCACAGUGACAUUGUAUGCCUCCUGUAUUCUCCUGGGAGUGUUCUUGAAUAGCAGUGUGCCUAUAUUUUUUGAGCUUUUUGUGGAAACUGUCUACCCAGUUCCAGAAGGAAUUACUUGUGGAGUUGUCACUUUUUUAAGUAAUAUGUUUAUGGGAGUACUUUUAUUUUUUCUCACAUUUUAUCAUACAGAAGCUUUGCAGCGGGUUUUGCUAAAAACAUCAUGAUUUUUAUCUCAGCUCUUUCAUUUUAAAGUGGCUGACCAUGAAUGUGAGGCUGUGUUGUCACUCAAAAGAUUCAGGGGCCUGGCAGAGGUGGGAGGCAUUGACUAAUGGUUACCUGGAAAACAAAGAGCAGGUGCAACAGAUGUGGACUAGUGAGAAGUAAUUUUAUAUCUAAGAAGCAGAAUAAUGGAAUGUGAUGAGUUGUCUUGGUUCAACUGGUGCCUUCCCGGGUCGUGUUUGCUCAGUCUCCUCCUCAUUCUGUGCUUCAGGGAAUCCUAUGACAGACUCUAUCUUGAUGUGGUUGUCUCCGUUUAAUAGCACAGACUUGAAGGAGUUUAAAAGGAGGCUGGAAAUCAAUACUGCACACUGCACAUUUGCUCGGAAUUGCACAUCUAACAGGAAAAGAGGGAGAAGAAAGAAACUUCAUUCAGAGGUUUUGUUAGGUUACAGAUUAUCACAUUAAUUUAAUUACUACUAGGUAAUAAUGGGAGACUUGAGUGAUAACAGGGGAUUUUAAAACUCUACAGAUGGCAUACCUGUGCCUGCUUCUGGGGUUGGAAGUGUGACUUCUUACACAUAAAGCACUACCUAAGUAAUUCUCUCUCUGUUUUGUGCCAGUGCUAAACUACUGAUUACUUGUAAUUAUGAAAAGAAAUAAAGGGUGUCUAUCAUAUGAAGAUAACGCCUUCCCUAAGUCACAUAUCAGAAUAGGAAGAUAGGCCACUAACUUCUAAAGAAGUUCAAACCCUGUAUCCAAUUUUAAUGAUAAAAUAGCCAAGAGGUAUAUCGAUGAUAGAAAUUAGCCACGUGUACACUACAUUUUUUCUAAUAAAGCCAUUUCUUAUAUGACUCCUUAUUUUAAUCAGGUCAGAAGCCCUUGGCCAUCUUUACUAUGGUGAUCAGGUGCUUUCCAGUGACUUCUGAGCAUAGGCACUGUGUCUCCAUCUCAACUUAUCCUUGUUUCUGUGAAAUACAAUUUCAUCUACUAGGCCCUUAAAUAAUUAUGUGAGGGUGACUAAAUGUUUAAUAUGAUUACAUUAAAUAUUGUAUGAAAAAAUGUAAUUCCAUUAGGAUCUAGCACUUUGUUACAAGUGAAAUGACAAGUCACAUGGACAUACUGUGUCUUCUGCCUGUAUAUGGUGGCAUGAGAUGUAAUGUCCAGACCCAACAAUUAUUUACCAGGGUUAGAUUUUAUUCAGUGACCCUCGUUUAAAAAUAAUAAUUUAUCACAUUGAAACUUUCAGCUCUGUCGAAUGAUUUCUGAAUUACAUCCUGUGUUUCAGCUUAGGUUGUAAAAUACUCCGUUCUCUGUGGAGUCAGCAUGUUUGAGAGGGCAGCGUUUUGCCAGUACCUAUCUUCUUUCUACAGAUGAUAGCUUUUUAAGAAAUAAGAGUUCCACAUUGAGUGGCUGUCAGACACAGAUUUCACUGUGACGUAAAAUACACUGCAGUGAGAGUAUGGUAUCACCACUAUUCAUAUUUACAUCAUUCCCCUCACACAGAAAAACCAACCCUUUUCCCAAAAAGUUGAGAAUACUGCUAUACCUUUAUUAUUCUCAGCUUCCUCCAGCCCUUCUUCUUGUUUUUCCUCACUUGAAAUUGAACCUUCAUUGUCAGCUAAGUAUAUAUACUUUUGUGUUUUCCUGGACAGAGUGCAAGUGGCUCUUAUCAGCCAAGGUGGUGAAGGUUCAGGAAAGCUGGGCAGCACUGGGCCCUGCUCCUCUCUGCACCUGUGUGCGCCAUGACACACCCACAUGCAGAUUCCCAAGUCUGUCUCCCCUCCCGCUUAGCAAGUACAAGGCUGUGCAUUAACUCACCUCGGUCCUAGAGGAGUAUCCUAGUACUGCUUGGCAACUUCUAAGACCCUAACUUGUGAAACUAGGGAAGUAAGAAACCGUUCAAAUUUAACAUCUGUCUUCAGUCAUCUUUAAAUCGUCUCUCUUUAUAAACACUCUGCUCACUUAGCAGAAGGACUGAAGGAACUAAGGAACUUGCUAAAGAGAAGAAAACAAAAGCUAGACUUAGUUCCAGUUAAUUCUGUUAUUCUUCUGAAAUAAAAAUGAAAUAAAAGGAAGGCAGAAUUCUCUUUUUUUUUUUUUUUUUUAGACAGGGUCUUGCUCUGUGAUGGUGCAAUCUCAACUCACUGCAACCUCCAUGUCCCAGAUGCAGGUGAUCCUCCCGCCUCAGCCUCCCGAGUAGCUGGGACUACAGGCACGCACAACCACGCCUAGCUAAUUUUUCUGUUUUUAGUAGAGACAGUGUUUCUCCAUGUUGCCCAGGCUGGUCUCAAACUCCUAAGUGAUCCACCCGCCUCAGCCUCCCAAAGUGCUGGGAUUAUAGGCGUGAGCCACCACACCAGGCCAAGAAGGUGGAUUCCUUGAAGAUGAUUCAAAGCCAGCCAUUAAGGAUAUCCGUAGACCAUGACCCGGAUGCUAAAUAAGCACCACCCCUUCCUGUUCAGAGGGAAGAGAGAAAGGAGAGGGAAGAAUUAUAAGUCCCAGGCGACACUUGAUGCCUCUGACUCCUUUGAAGAGGGCAUCAAGAAGUGAAGGAACAAAGUCCUUUUCUGUUCGGGAUCUGGGUCCAUCCUGGGAGAAGUUUUUGGCAGAAAUGGCUGCAGUGGAACCCUCUGACUGCCAGGGUGAAAUAGUGCUCCAGCAGGCUGUGGCAGACUCGCUGCCAGAAUGGGUCAGGACUGGCCCAGAGGACAGGGUCAUCUCUUGAGAGUCCUCCCAGCUCCAGGGCCUGAUUUUAAAGCAGUAACACAAGGAUAUAGGUUAUAUACAGGCUCCUGGAAGGCAGGUGCCGCAGCUCCUGUGACACCCCAUAUGCCUGAGCAAGCUUCUCCAGCACAAGAGAUGAUGCAAGUAUGAAUGGGUGCGGGGGGAGCUUAAAACCUGCCAACACUGAGACUUGAUGCCAGGGGCCGUGCACCCGCUCUGCCACCUGCUAGGUCUGUGCAAUGGUCAGAGCAGAGGUGUGUGAUGAGUUCAGCUCCCAAGCACAUCCACACUUAGGAAGUGUUCUGUGUGUUUUUAAAUAAUCCUUACCAUGUAAAGAUUGUAUUACAUUUGUAUACAAAAUUUUUUUGCAUUUUACUUUUGUAAUAUUUGGGGUUUUAUAGAUUUUUAUUUUAUGGCCAAGUAUACUUUUGUAAGGAAAUGUUGAAGUCUUGAGUAUUUUUAUUCUUUUAAAAAACUAUAGUUAGUGUCAACUGUGAGCACUGAUAAAUAUUAUUCAUGUGUGGUUUUCCUUCUUUUUAAUCCAGACUUUUUAAGAAACUGUUUUGGCAUAGAGCUUUACUUAAAAUGCUGCUUCAUUUUACACAUUGUGAAUACUGAAGAUUCUAAAAAAUAAAGAUGCAUGUAAAAUCUCUGUGCUGUUCCAUUGUAGAAAUGGUAAUGUGCAUUGCUUUGCCAAAGUGGUAAUUAAAUGUUUAAUGGUUUAGAACUCCUAGUUCACAACAGGGCUUCUCGUCAUCACUUGCAGCGUGCGAGCUUCCAAAUAAGCCAUUUCUUUGGAAAACGCACGCACUUAGGCAUGGCGAUCUCCUGUUCCGUUAGGAAAUACGGUUAUGUUGACAUUAUGGUUACUGUGCUUGUGGUUUUGCAAUAAACAUGUAUUGAAAGCA